CAGCACAUGGCACAAAGAUGAACUGUCAAUGCCGGCGGUUCCAGUUCUAGGAGCAACGCGGACAGCAUCGCCAAGAUAUUAGCCAGCACGGGACAAGUGUUGAGACCGCAAGAGAUUAAGUCCGUCGGGACGCCGAUCAUAUCAACAGGCUACAGUCUGAAAAUAUUCUCUGGUUCCUCUCCGAUACUCGUGGCUUCCGAUUAGCCACAAGGAGUAGUGAGGCAAUGUGGGAAAGUCGACUUGUGAUGUAGGAACACACCAUCAAAAUAAACUGAAAUAAACUAUUCUUGAGAUUAUUCUAAAGCAAAACGUAUAAAGGAUGCAAGGACUA